AACGAACGCUGGCGGCAGGCUUAACACAUGCAAGUCGAGCGAAGGCUUCGGCCUUAGCGGCGGACGGGUGAGUAACGCGUGGGAACGUGCCCUCUUCUCCGGAAUAGCCUCGGGAAACUGAGAUUAAUGCCGGAUACGCCCCCCAAUCAAAUUCCAUUUGAUUGGCGAACCUAAGGAUCGUCAAAUUCCACGAGUGGAAUUUGAUGGGGGGGAAAGAUUUAUCGGAGGAGGAUCGGCCCGCGUUGGAUUAGGUAGUUGGUGGGGUAAUGGCCUACCAAGCCGACGAUCCAUAGCUGGUUUGAGAGGAUGAUCAGCCACACUGGGACUGAGACACGGCCCAGACUCCUACGGGAGGCAGCAGUGGGGAAUCUUGGACAAUGGGGGCAACCCUGAUCCAGCCAUGCCGCGUGAGCGAUGAAGGCCUUAGGGUUGUAAAGCUCUUUCAGCGGGGAAGAUAAUGACGGUACCCGCAGAAGAAGCCCCGGCUAACUCCGUGCCAGCCGCCGCAGUAAAAC
rnacentral:rRNA from 1 species